rnacentral:tRNA from 1 species
GGAGUUGUGGCUCAGUGGUAGAGCUCUUGCCUGGCAUGUGUGAGGCCCUGGGUUCAAUCCCCAGCACUACA